rnacentral:rRNA from 1 species
GGUUAAGCGACUAAGCGUACACGGUGGAUGCCCUGGCAGUCAGAGGCGAUGAAGGACGUGCUAAUCUGCGAAAAGCGUCGGUAAGGUGAUAUGAACCGUUAUAACCGGCGAUGUCCGAAUGGGGAAACCCAGUGCAAUUCGUUGCACUAUCGUUAACUGAAUACAUAGGUUAACGAGGCGAACCGGGGGAACUGAAACAUCUAAGUACCCCGAGGAAAAGAAAUCAACCGAGAUUCCCCCAGUAGCGGCGAGCGAACGGGGAGCAGCCCAGAGUCUGAAUCAGCUUGUGUGUUAGUGGAACGGUCUGGAAAGUCCGACGGUACAGGGUGAUAGUCCCGUACACCAAAAUGCACAGGCUGUGAACUCGAAGAGUAGGGCGGGACACGUGGUAUCCUGUCUGAAUAUGGGGGGACCAUCCUCCAAGGCUAAAUACUCCUGACUGACCGAUAGUGAACCAGUACCGUGAGGGAAAGGCGAAAAGAACCCCGGCGAGGGGAGUGAAAAAGAACCUGAAACCGUGUACGUACAAGCAGUGGGAGCACCUUCGGGUGUGACUGCGUACCUUUUGUAUAAUGGGUCAGCGACUUAUAUUCUGUAGCAAGGUUAACCGUAUAGGGGAGCCGCAGGGAAACCGAGUCUUAACUGGGCGUUAAGUUGCAGGGUAUAGACCCGAAACCCGGUGAUCUAGCCAUGGGCAGGUUGAAGGUUGGGUAACACUAACUGGAGGACCGAACCGACUAAUGUUGAAAAAUUAGCGGAUGACUUGUGGCUGGGGGUGAAAGGCCAAUCAAACCGGGAGAUAGCUGGUUCUCCCCGAAAGCUAUUUAGGUAGCGCCUCGUGAACUCAUCUUCGGGGGUAGAGCACUGUUUCGGCUAGGGGGUCAUCCCGACUUACCAACCCGAUGCAAACUACGAAUACCGAAGAAUGUUAUCACGGGAGACACACGGCGGGUGCUAACGUCCGUCGUGAAGAGGGAAACAACCCAGACCGCCAGCUAAGGUCCCAAAGUCAUGGUUAAGUGGGAAACGAUGUGGGAAGGCACAGACAGCCAGGAUGUUGGCUUAGAAGCAGCCAUCAUUUAAAGAAAGCGUAAUAGCUCACUGGUCGAGUCGGCCUGCGCGGAAGAUGUAACGGGGCUAAACCAUGCACCGAAGCUGCGGCAGCGACACUAUGUGUUGUUGGGUAGGGGAGCGUUCUGUAAGCCUGCGAAGGUGACCUGUGAGGGUUGCUGGAGGUAUCAGAAGUGCGAAUGCUGACAUAAGUAACGAUAAAGCGGGUGAAAAGCCCGCUCGCCGGAAGACCAAGGGUUCCUGUCCAACGUUAAUCGGGGCAGGGUGAGUCGACCCCUAAGGCGAGGCCGAAAGGCGUAGUCGAUGGGAAACAGGUUAAUAUUCCUGUACUUGGUGUUACUGCGAAGGGGGACGGAGAAGGCUAUGUUAGCCGGGCGACGGUUGUCCCGGUUUAAGCAUGUAGGCUGAUUGUCCAGGCAAAUCCGGAUAAUCAAGGCUGAGGUGUGAUGACGAGGCACUACGGUGCUGAAGUAACAAAUGCCCUGCUUCCAGGAAAAGCCUCUAAGCAUCAGGUAACAUUAAAUCGUACCCCAAACCGACACAGGUGGUCAGGUAGAGAAUACCAAGGCGCUUGAGAGAACUCGGGUGAAGGAACUAGGCAAAAUGGUGCCGUAACUUCGGGAGAAGGCACGCUGGUGUGUAGGUGAAGUCCCUGCGGAUGGAGCUGAGACCAGUCGAAGAUACCAGCUGGCUGCAACUGUUUAUUAAAAACACAGCACUGUGCAAACACGAAAGUGGACGUAUACGGUGUGACGCCUGCCCGGUGCCGGAAGGUUAAUUGAUGGGGUUAUCCGUAAGGAGAAGCUCUUGAUCGAAGCCCCGGUAAACGGCGGCCGUAACUAUAACGGUCCUAAGGUAGCGAAAUUCCUUGUCGGGUAAGUUCCGACCUGCACGAAUGGCGUAAUGAUGGCCAGGCUGUCUCCACCCGAGACUCAGUGAAAUUGAACUCGCUGUGAAGAUGCAGUGUACCCGCGGCAAGACGGAAAGACCCCGUGAACCUUUACUAUAGCUUGACACUGAACAUUGAGCCUUGAUGUGUAGGAUAGGUGGGAGGCUUUGAAGCGUGGACGCCAGUCUGCGUGGAGCCAACCUUGAAAUACCACCCUUUAAUGUUUGAUGUUCUAACGUUGGCCCCUGACCGGGGUUGCGGACAGUGUCUGGUGGGUAGUUUGACUGGGGCGGUCUCCUCCCAAAGCGUAACGGAGGAGCACGAAGGUUAGCUAAUCCUGGUCGGACAUCAGGAGGUUAGUGCAAUGGCAUAAGCUAGCUUGACUGCGAGCGUGACGGCGCGAGCAGGUGCGAAAGCAGGUCAUAGUGAUCCGGUGGUUCUGAAUGGAAGGGCCAUCGCUCAACGGAUAAAAGGUACUCCGGGGAUAACAGGCUGAUACCGCCCAAGAGUUCAUAUCGACGGCGGUGUUUGGCACCUCGAUGUCGGCUCAUCACAUCCUGGGGCUGAAGUAGGUCCCAAGGGUAUGGCUGUUCGCCAUUUAAAGUGGUACGCGAGCUGGGUUUAGAACGUCGUGAGACAGUUCGGUCCCUAUCUGCCGUGGGCGCUGGAGAAUUGAGGGGGGCUGCUCCUAGUACGAGAGGACCGGAGUGGACGCAUCACUGGUGUUCGGGUUGUCAUGCCAAUGGCACUGCCCGGUAGCUAAAUGCGGAAGAGAUAAGUGCUGAAAGCAUCUAAGCACGAAACUUGCCCCGAGAUGAGUUCUCCCUGAGACUAUAAGUCUCCUGAAGGAACGUUAAAGACGAUGACGUUGAUAGGCCGGGUGUGUAAGCGCAGCGAUGCGUUGAGCUAACCGGUACUAAUGAACCGUGAGGCUUAACCUU